rnacentral:sRNA from 2 species
GACGCGCAAGCGCCGAAGGCAGGAGCGGGGGACCCAAGGUAAGUGCCGGCCCCGCCCGUGAAAACGGGUCAGUCGGCUUGGGGUGAAGUCGCGUGUCCAGCACACGCGGCCGGGCAGCUCACACGGCCCGAACCCGACAGCUCACCUCGUAGGCGUCGGUGAGGAAACGA